rnacentral:lncRNA from 1 species
AUCGGGUCCCCUUGCUGGCAACCCUUCAACAAUGGUACAUCCUCCUUACACAUUCAUGUAUAUAUUCCUUGGCUCGAUAAAUCAUUAAAUUAAGCUACAGUUACCUCGUUUAGUAGUUUACAGGAGAGCCGGGUCACUACCGUGACCGUCUGAGUUCGCCACGCUGACCGUCUGAGCGGGCUGGUGGGAGUCCUCCAUGAAAGGAUUGUAGAGGUUUGAUUGAGCCUGGCUAAAGCUUCCAUAUCUGGCUGAAUAAAACGUAUCACUCUUGGAGCUACUAUUCCUUACGACAGCAGGAAGAAAGGAGCAGAAAAGAGUAGGAAAAAACCUAGUCUCGUCCUCCAAAAAAGCUGAAGCGUGGUGUAAAGUGCAGAAAUUAAAAAUGGCGAAUUAUCUGUCCAGCAAAUACUACUCAGAAUCUAAAGUGUUAAAGCUAAAACUAAUCCUAGAAAUUUUUGUGAAGAAGACCUAGUGGUAUAGAAAUUACUGAAGAGGCUAAUUGUAUUAAUUGUAAUCAGUGGAAAUCUUUUACUGGAAGUGAGUAAGAUUCCUGCAGAUGUACAGGCUAAAGAUGGUUCUCUUAGUAUCAGUGGAGAGGUAGCUCAUGCCAUCAAUCUCAGUGGACUGAGGGAAGUGUGUAUUAGGAGAGU